rnacentral:rRNA from 1 species
AUUGAACGCUGGCGGCAGGCCUAACACAUGCAAGUCGAACGGUAACAGGAAGCAGCUUGCUGCUUUGCUGACGAGUGGCGGACGGGUGAGUAAUGUCUGGGAAACUGCCCGAUGGAGGGGGAUAACUACUGGAAACGGUAGCUAAUACCGCAUAACGUCGCAAGACCAAAGAGGGGGACCUUCGGGCCUCUUGCCAUCGGAUGUGCCCAGAUGGGAUUAGCUUGUUGGUGAGGUAACGGUUCACCAAGGCGACGAUCCCUAGCUGGUCUGAGAGGAUGACCAGCCACACUGGAACUGAGACACGGUCCAGACUCCUACGGGAGGCAGCAGUGGGGAAUAUUGCACAAUGGGCGCAAGCCUGAUGCAGCCAUGCCGCGUGUAUGAAGAAGGCCUUCGGGUUGUAAAGUACUUUCAGCGGGGAGGAAGGGAAUGUGGUUAAUAACCGCGUUCAUUGACGUUACCCGCAGAAGAAGCACCGGCUAACUCCGUGCCAGCAGCCGCCGUAACAC